rnacentral:rRNA from 1 species
GUUAAAAAGCUCGUAGUUGGAUUUCUGGUGGGAGCACGGGUCGGCCUUCACGGGUUGUACUGUUGUUGCGUCCCGCCGUUUCGGAGGGAAUGGUCUCGCUAUUAAGUUAGCGUGAUCGGGAACUCUGUCGUUUACUGUGAAAAAAUUAGAGUGUUCAAAGCAGGCCUUCGCUGUGAAUACAUUAGCAUGGAAUAAUAAGAUAGGACUGUAGUGCUAUUUUGUUGGUUUGCGUACUAUGGUAAUGAUUAAUAGGGACAGUUGGGGGUAUUCAUAUUUAAUUGUCAGAGGUGAAAUUCUUGGAUUUAUGAAAGAUGAACUCAUGCGAAAGCAUUUACCAAGGAUGUUUUCAUUAAUCAAGAACGAAAGUUAGGGGAUCGAAGAGGAUUAGAUACCCUCGUAGUCUUAACCAUAAACUAUGCCGACUAGGGAUUGGAGGACGUACAUUUUUGGCUCCUUCAGCACCUUACGAGAAAUCAAAGUCUUUGGGUUCCGGGGGGAGUAUGGUCGCAAGGCUGAAACUUAAAGGAAUUGACGGAAGGGCACCACCAGGAGUGGAGCCUGCGGCUUAAUCUGACUCAACACGGGAAAACUCACCAGGUCCGGACAUAGUAAGGAUUGACAGAUUGACAGCUCUUUCUUGAU